CCUACGGGAGGCAGCAGUGAGGAAUAUUGGUCAAUGGCCGGAAGGCUGAACCAGCCAAGCCGCGUGAAGGACGAAGGUACAAAGCAUUGUAAACUUCUUUUGUCAGGGGACAAAAUCAGGCACGAGAGCCUGACCGAGGGUACUUGAAGAAAAAGCAUCGGCUAACUCCGUGCCAGCAGCCGCGGUAAUACGGAGGAUGCGAGCGUUAUCCGGAUUUAUUGGGUUUAAAGGGUGCGUAGGCGGCCUGUUAAGUCAGCGGUAAAAGCCCGGGGCUCAACCCCGGCGAGCCGUUGAAACUGGCGGGCUGGAGUUGGCGAGAGGUACGCGGAAUGCGCGGUGUAGCGGUGAAAUGCUUAGAUAUUGCGCAGAACCCCGAUUGCGAAGGCAGCGUACCGGCUGCAAUCUGACGCUGAGGCACGAAAGCGUGGGUAUCGAACAGGAUUAGAUACCCGAGUAGUC
rnacentral:rRNA from 1 species